CAGUCGCCACGGUAAUACAGAGGGUGCGAGCGUUAAUCGGAUUUACUGGGCGUAAAGCGUGCGUAGGCGGCUUCUUAAGUCGGAUGUGAAAUCCCUGAGCUUAACUUAGGAAUUGCAUUUGAUACUGGGAAGCUAGAGUAUGGGAGAGGAUGGUAGAAUUCCAGGUGUAGCGGUGAAAUGCGUAGAGAUCUGGAGGAAUACCGAUGGCGAAGGCAGCCAUCUGGCCUAAUACUGACGCUGAGGUACGAAAGCAUGGGGAGCAAACAGGAUUAGAUACCCCAGUAGUCCCUGUCUCUUAUAC
rnacentral:rRNA from 1 species